GAUGAACGCUAGCUACAGGCUUAACACAUGCAAGUCGAGGGGCAGCGCAGUGUAGCAAUACAUGGGCGGCGACCGGCGCACGGGUGCGUAACGCGUAUCCAACCUUCCCGUUACUUUUGGAUAGCCUUCCGAAAGGGAGAUUAAUACAAGAUGGUAUUCAAAUUCCGCAUGUUAUUUGAAUUAAAGAUUUAUCGGUAACGGAUGGGGAUGCGUGACAUUAGAGAGUAGGCGGGGUAACGGCCCACCUAGUCUACGAUGUCUAGGGGUUCUGAGAGGAAGGUCCCCCACACUGGAACUGAGACACGGUCCAGACUCCUACGGGAGGCAGCAGUGAGGAAUAUUGGUCAAUGGUCGGAAGACUGAACCAGCCAAGUAGCGUGAAGGAUGAAGGUUCUAUGGAUUGUAAACAUCUUUUAUACGGGAAUAAAACCUCCCACGUGUGGGAGCUUGUAUGUACCGUAUGAAUAAGCAUCGGCUAACUCCGUGCCAGCAGCCGCUGUAAGAC
rnacentral:rRNA from 1 species